rnacentral:lncRNA from 1 species
GCUUUUAAAGUUUGAGCCAGGAGGCUUAGUGGGAGUUUAAAGGGACACUGUGCAAGUUUUACCUACAGGGUAUAAAGAUAUGUCUGAAAAAGUGUCUCUGCUCGCUCCUUACUCAACUCAGAACUCGGUUAGACAUCAGAGUUCCUGCCGUCUGUCCUCGGCUCUGUCGUUUCUGAAGACGUCCCCUGUCAACAAUCAUUACCUGUGUUAGAAAUGUACCUUUUUUUUUUAUACAUGCAGAAGCAGAUUUUUGAUGGUUUUGUGCUGCAUCUGUGUGCUACAUUAAAAUAACACCAAACCAGGUGCUAAAUAGGUGUCCCUUCAGAUCUAGAUUUACAUAUACGGGUCUUUUUAGACGAUCUGGCAGCGAUCAUGGGCCUCAUCUGCUGGACUCCUGCUGCUAAUGAAAAAAUCAUAUGGUAUAUAACUUAAUGACAGCUGACUGAAAUGACUCUAAAGAAGAAAUAAGUUUGAGGAUAAGGCUGCAGACGAUUUUAUUGGCCAAGUGCAGCUGCUGGUAUCAAACACCGGAGCUGUAACUGGUCCAAGGUGAUGUGGAGGUCACAUUAAACCUUCUCUUUCUAAUUAGGGUUCAUCCUCUCAGGACCCUGGCCCACACGGACCCGCUUUCAUCAGUACAAACACUCUCGGAUGUUUAACUCUAACAUUACCAUUAUGUGAAAAACACCAUCUGUCUCUUUAAUUUCAAUGAGAGCUCCACGGAGACGCAGCGGGGAUCAAACAAUGGAGUCUGAAAACUGCUGCAACACACGGCAAUGUCAUCCAGCAAUCAGAGCGCACAAUCAGGCGCUGGAAGAAUACCUCCAGGAACCUGGGCGCUCUGCUGUUUGCUUUGGGAUCAAUACCAUGGCCAAAGAAAUGAAAUUACAGUUGCUGCUCUCUCGUGUUGUUUUCCUGAUGCAUAGACAGGCGGAGUGAUGCUCAGCCUUCAGUCUUAUGAAAUAUUUACUCCACUCAGGUGAUAUGUUGACUGACGAAAAAUGGCAGCAACAAAAUACCCGCGCAAAAAAAGAGUGUCCAACAAAGACGCUUUUAUCGCACGACUGAGGGACACAACAGAGGUACAUGUUCUGCCCUGUGCAGCGUGAUUGGCCAGUUGGGUCUAUGAUGUCCAAUGAAGGCGCCAAAGAUCCAGACUGAAAUACUCAAUGGGUCGUGAAAACAAACUGAGACAAGUGUUCGGAUCAGUGCCUCUCAAAAUUAGCUGAACCACGUGGCGUCAUCUGCAUAAAACCGUAGCCUAGCAUGCUGCCGAUCGUAGCUUAUCACAGCUUGUUCAGGCUGACAAACUGACUGCUGACAUGUAAAAAUACUGAAAUAUCCCUUUAAUGUCCAACAAUUACAAAGAGUCAAUUAGGUUGAAGACAGACCCUUAAAGGUGGAGAAGGCAGGAUUUAAUUAAAGAAGCAUCUUUUUUGUGGUGUAUUUACAAAAAAUCUUCUAAUAUCAGUCAAUAGUUAUUAGUUAUUGAUUAUUUGGUAAUAUAAGGAUAUCUCUGUGUUCUCUUAUGUCUGUGUCGUCAACAUUUGAACAUUAUUGAGCGGUCCGCUCUUUCUGACUGUAAACAAAGCCGUUCUCCACCUCCUCUAACCUGAUUGGUUGUGAGGCAGACGCUGCUCCCCCGUGUCGUUCAGGAGCCCAAACAAAGUUAGCGUGCUACAAUAUCGGACAGUAGAAACCAACCAGAAAGUUCGGAAAAUCGUCUGAAUCCUCCUUUGGCCACGACUGCCGACACAAGCAAGAAAACAAAGUAAAUACCGGAGACUCUGGAGGAAUAACGGGCGCUUAAAACGGAGGUAGACCGGACAAGAGCUAAAAAGCCGGGUCAACAUAAACGAUGGGGGACGCUUGGGGAUCUUGGUAAGAGACGGUCUUGGUAAACCGCUUUAACGAAGUAAGACAAGUGUCUGUAACAGAGGUGUUUCUUGUCAAACGGACCUGCUGUAGCGUGUUGUAGCGCCAUCGCUAAACUGUCCUCCCUCGGGUCCUGGACUAUGUCACUUUAUCCUCGUUGUAGAAGUCCUGCAAACAUUGUGUUUGCUGGUAGUCUGUUGGCAUCUACAGUAGCACCAAUGCUUUUGACUUUCACCUUGACUGGGCCCCAUUUGUAAUGAUCUGAAGGAUUUAUCUGCAUUAUAUCUGAAUUUAAUCGGAACGAUACGAGCGAGCAGGAGCGUCUGUUUGUGGGCGGGGCUUGAGGGGAGAGGAGGAGCUGAGGGGAAAACUGUUUGGGAGGGGUAGAGUUUACAUUCAAGAUUUCUCCUAAAAACUGGAACUUCAUCAGAUCCUGACUACAACACCUUUAAGGAAAAGAUCAGCUGACUUUCAGUUGAAUUUGUUGGUUUAUUCCUUGAUUUUCAGCAGUAUUACUAAAACUAAAAACAGUCUGGAUUAAACCUGUCGUCUUAGUCCGGACCACAAUAACAUGUCCUCCUGCUGUAACUUGUGAUUUUCGGCCUUGACGUCCAUCUUAAUUGGCUUGUUUUUCAUUAUUUCACGCCGAUACAGAAAGAACCGUUUCUGUCAAAGCUGUAAAAUAAAACCACAAACACUUUGUUCCAGGUUUUUUGAUGUAAAAGUGUUUUAUUUGCAUAUGAAUUCAACCAAAACUCAUUAUCCGCUCUCUCUCCUCCUCUG